GUGCUUGCUUUGGCAGCACAUAUACUAAAAUUAGACGAUACAGAGAAUUGUUGCAUGACCUCUGUGCAAAGAUGGCAUGCAGAUAGAUCCAUGAAGCUUUCCAUAUUUUU